rnacentral:rRNA from 1 species
GAGGCACGCCUGUGACUAUAUGUUCAACGGCCGCGGUAUUUUGACGGCGAAGGUAGCGUAAUCACUUGUCUCUUAAUGGAGACUGUAUGAAUGGCAUUACGAGGGCUUAACUGUCUCCUCCCUCAGGUCAGUGAAAUUGAUCUCCCCGUGCAGAAGCGGGGAUAAGAACAUAAGACGAGAAGACCCCGUGGAGCUUUAGAUGCAAGAGCAGCGCAUGUUACACACCCCUAAGCAAGGAUUAAAACUUUAUGCCCCCCUGCCCUAAUGUCUUCGGUUGGGGCGACCGCGGAUUAAAUUUAACCUCCGUGUGGAAUGGGAGUACUUCAAUUCAUAUUUCCUCCUAAAACUAAGAGCGACAGCUCUAAGAAACAAAACUUUUGACCUAAGAAGAUCCGGCAACGCCGAUCAACGAACCGAGUUACCCCGGGGAUAACAGCGCAAUCCUCUUCUAGAGCCCCUAUCGACAAGAGGGUUUACGACCUCGAUGUUGGAUCAGGACAUCCUAAUGGUGCAGCCGCUAUUAAGGG